rnacentral:tRNA from 3 species
GGAGGAAUACCCAAGUCCGGCUGAAGGGAUCGGUCUUGAAAACCGACAGGCGGGUCAAACCGCGCGGGGGUUCGAAUCCCUCUUCCUCCUCCA